GGGGGGGGUWUCCGGAUUUAUUGGGCGUAAGCGAGCGCAGGCGGUUUUUUAAGUCUGAUGUGAAAGCCCUCGGCUUAACCGAGGAAGCGCAUCGGAAACUGGGAAACUUGAGUGCAGAAGAGGACAGUGGAACUCCAUGUGUAGCGGUGAAAUGCGUAGAUAUAUGGAAGAACACCAGUGGCGAAGGCGGCUGUCUGGUCUGUAACUGACGCUGAGGCUCGAAAGCAUGGGUAGCGAACAGGAUUAGAUACCCUGGUAGUCCAUGCCGUAAACGAUGAAUGCUAGGUGUUGGAGGGUUUCCGCCCUUCAGUGCCGCAGCUAACGCAUUAAGCAUUCCGCCUGGGGAGUACGACCGCAAGGUUGAAACUCAAAGGAAUUGACGGGGGCCCGCACAAGCGGUGGAGCAUGUGGUUUAAUUCGAAGCAACGCGAAGAACCUUACCAGGUCUUGACAUCUUUUGAUCACCUGAGAGAUCAGGUUUCCCCUUCGGGGGCAAAAUGACAGGUGGUGCAUGGUUGUCGUCAGCUCGUGUCGUGAGAUGUUGGGUUAAGUCCCGCAACGAGCGCAACCCUUAUGACUAGUUGCCAGCAUUUAGUUGGGCACUCUAGUAAGACUGCCGGUGACAAACCGGAGGAAGGUGGGGAUGACGUCAAAUCAUCAUGCCCCUUAUGACCUGGGCUACACACGUGCUACAAUGGAUGGUACAACGAGUUGCGAGACCGCGAGGUCAAGCUAAUCUCUUAAAGCCAUUCUCAGUUCGGACUGUAGGCUGCAACUCGCCUACACGAAGUCGGAAUCGCUAGUAAUCGCGGAUCAGCACGCCGCGGUGAAUACGUUCCCGGGCCUUGUACMACCCSSCA
rnacentral:rRNA from 2 species